CUAGUAUAAUAAACCUGAUUCAGGUGUAGACCCAUGUCCUAGUAUAAUAAACCUGAUUCAGGUGUAGACCCAUGUCCUAGUAUAAUAAACCUGAUUCAGGUGUAGACCCAUGUCCUAGUAUAAUAAACCUGAUUCAGGUGUAGACCUAAGUUCUAGUAUAAUCAACCUGAUUCAGGUGUAGACCCAUGUUCUAGAACAUCGGUUCCCCAACUGGGGUACGCGUACCCCCAGGGGUACGCAAAGUGGGUCAGGGGGUACGCGGGGAGAAAAUUUGAUUUGCGUUUUCAAAGUGAAAAAGCCCAUUACAUUUUCAAACGGAGCUAUAAAUAGACAUGAAAUCUUAAACAGUCCGAAUAGCCAAGUCGCAUUGCCAGAAAUACUCAUGUAUACCCAUAUUCAGUGAAAUAAUGACACUAGCAAAAAUAGCUACAGGUAGGUUAGUGACCUACCCUGACAGUUUGAAGUGUUAUAGGCUGAACAUGUGCUCGGGGGGAGGGGGGCGUGGCAGCGGCGGUUAGUGACCUACCCUGACAAUUUCAAAGUUUCAAGUGUUGUAGGCUGAAUAUGUGUGCGGGGGGAGGGGGCGUGGCCGCGGUUUCAAACAUGAAAAAAAAACGGGGGGGGGUACGUAGCUGGAGAUUGAAUGUCUGAAGGGGUACGGGGCUGUAAAAAGUUUUGGGAACCACUGUUCUAGAACAAUUAAUCCUGAUUCAGGUACUAAAAUGUGUUCUAUUAAAACAGUAUGAAGGGAAAUAUUUAGAGCUAUCACCCAACUAACCUAAUCCUUUGACUAUCUCAGGCUGCCACUUACAACAGGCAUUUUUCUGUAUGCUAUUUCUGUCGCCC
ensembl:lncRNA